UACGUAGGGUCCGAGCGUUUGUCCGGAAUUACUGGGCGUAAAGAGCUCGUAGGUGGUUUGUCGCGUUGUUCGUGAAAACUCACAGCUUAACUGUGGGCGUGCGGGCGAUACGGGCAGACUAGAGUACUGCAGGGGAGACUGGAAUUCCUGGUGUAGCGGUGGAAUGCGCAGAUAUCAGGAGGAACACCGGUGGCGAAGGCGGGUCUCUGGGGCAGUAACUGACGCUGGAGGAGCGAAAGCGUGGGGAGCGAACAGG
rnacentral:rRNA from 1 species